UACGUAGGGGGCUAGCGUUGUCCGGAAUCAUUGGGCGUAAAGAGCGCGUAGGCGGCUAGAUAAGUCCGGUGUGAAAGUCACAGGCUCAACCUGUGAAUGCCGCUGGAAACUGUCUGGCUAGAGUCCGGAAGGGGCGAGUGGAAUUCCUGGUGUAGCGGUGAAAUGCGCAGAUAUCAGGAAGAACACCCGUGGCGAAGGCGGCUCUCUGGGACGGUACUGACGCUGAGACGCGAAAGCGUGGGGAGCGAACAGG
rnacentral:rRNA from 1 species